CAUGGCAUGGUCACCACAGCCAAGGGAACGGGCUUGGAAUAAACGGCGGGGAAGGAAGACCCUGUUAAGCUUAACUCUCGUCUGACCUUAUGAAGAGACAUAGGAAAUGUAGCAUAAGUGGGAGAUCCGUCAUCAAUGAAAUAGCACUACUCCUAUUGUUUCUUUACUGAAUCAAAUAAACAUGGUCAUACCAUGUUUUGGAAAAAAUACAAUUGUUUGUGCGAUUUAUAUUGAGGACAUAGUCAAAUGAGGAGUUUCACUGGGGCGAUAAAUCUGUCAAAAAAUAACACAGGUGCUAUAAGGCCAGUUCAGCGAGAACAGAAAUUUCGCCUAGAGCAAAAGGGUAAAUUCUGGUAUAAUCUUAGCUUUCAAUAUAAGUGAAGACCGUGAGAGCGUGAACCUCCAAUCCUUUUGUCUUUAGGAAUUUUGAGCAACAGGUAUUAGAAGAGUUACCACAGGGAUAACUGGCUUGUGGCGACCAUGCGAUCAUAGAGACGUCGCCUUUUAAUCCUUUGAUAUCAGCUCUUCUGACCAUUGCGAAAAAGAAUACACCGAAUGUUAGAUUGUUCAUUUGCUAAUAAGAAACGUGAGCUGGGUUUAGGCUGUCGUGAGACAGGAAUUACGUCUGUUGAUGAGAUAAGGAAACGAAUGUUUGAGUUUUACUCUACCGUUCGUGCUUGUUGUGGUAAUGCUAAUCCUGCUUGGUACGAAAGGAACCGUAGGUUUGGAUAAUUGGUUUUGUGUUAGUGAUUGGAAAAUCAGGAGCACCAAACUUCCAUCUAAUGGAUUAUGACUGAAAGUCUCUAAAUCAAAAUCCAAUCCAGAGUCUAUAAUACCAGUGCGUAAAAUGAAUAUUGUUUAUCCUUUAGUUGUGUGAGUGCAUAACUAUGAGGCAAAUUGAAAUGAAGUAGUAUCUUCAUAUCGGUUUUCGAUCCUAACACAUUCCUUGCACAAGACAAUCUGCAAAUGACUUUUAUUAAUCGAAGUGUUGUAAUUAGUAAAGCAGUUACCAUACUGUGACUAAUGAGGGUUACUUUUGUAUUGAUUUUCU
rnacentral:ncRNA from 1 species